rnacentral:rRNA from 1 species
UACGUAGGGUGCGAGCGUUGUCCGGAAUUACUGGGUUUAAAGGGUGCGUAGGCGGGCCCUUAAGUCAGUGGUGAAAGCUCCGAGCUUAACUCGGAAACCGCCAUUGAUACUAUAGGUCUUGAAUUCGGUCGAGGUUGGCGGAAUGUGUCGUGUAGCGGUGAAAUGCUUAGAUAUGACACAGAACACCGAUUGCGAAGGCAGCUAGCUAGACCGACAUUGACGCUGAGGCACGAAAGCGUGGGGAUCAAACAGG